ACGCUAGCUACAGGCUUAACACAUGCAAGUCGAGGGGAACAGCAUGGAAGAAGCUUGCUUCUUCUGAUGGCGACCGGCGCACGGGUGCGUAACGCGUAUCAAACCUGCCUCAUACUCGGGGAUAGCCUUGCGAAAGUAAGAUUAAUACCCGAUGUUGUUAUGUUACCGCAUGGUGAUAUAACCAAAGAUUUAUCGGUAUGAGAUGGUGAUGCGUCCGAUUAGGUAGUAGGCGGGGUAACGGCCCACCUAGCCAUCGAUCGGUAGGGGUUCUGAGAGGAAGGUCCCCCACACUGGAACUGAGACACGGUCCAGACUCCUACGGGAGGCAGCAGUGAGGAAUAUUGGUCAAUGGACGGAAGUCUGAACCAGCCAAGUAGCGUGCAGGAUGACGGCCCUCCGGGUUGUAAACUGCUUUUAGUUGGGAAUAAAAAGAGGGACGUGUCCCUCAUUGUAUGUACCUUCAGAAAAAGGACCGGCUAAUUCCGUGCCAGCAGCCGCGGUAAUACGGAAGGUCCAGGCGUUAUCCGGAUUUAUUGGGUUUAAAGGGAGCGUAGGCGGAUUAUUAAGUCAGUGGUGAAAGACGGUGGCUCAACCAUCGUUAGCCAUUGAAACUGGUAGUCUUGAGUGCAGACAGGGAUGCUGGAACUCGUGGUGUAGCGGUGAAAUGCUUAGAUAUCACGAUGAACUCCGAUCGCGAAGGCAGGUGUCCGGGCUGCAACUGACGCUGAGGCUCGAAAGUGUGGGUAUCAAACAGGAUUAGAUACCCUGGUAGUCCACACAGUAAACGAUGUAUACUCGCGGUUUGCGAUAUAGUGUAAGCCGCCAAGCGAAAGCAUUAAGUAUACCACCUGGGGAGUACGCCGGCAACGGUGAAACUCAAAGGAAUUGACGGUGGCCCGCACAAGCGGA
rnacentral:rRNA from 1 species